CAAUAAGAAUACUUGGGUCUAGAUCUUCCAAAACGACCUCCUCCUCGUCUAUUCUCCAUAGUAUGAGAUGCCCGAUUGUCCACUGAUUGGGAUAUGAGGAUAGAUGAAUCAAGUGUCUGUGAUGAGCUUACUGGGUGACUCAGUGCUGUAGCAAGGCGAAGUAAUCGAGAGAAUAAUUCAUCAAUUGUGGGGACAGUUGGACUAGCCAAAAUCUGAUCGCGUACUGAGUCGAGAUCAUUAGGAAGCCCAGCUAGAGUAAGAACUAGAAACAACUUUUGUCGUUGCUCUUG
rnacentral:lncRNA from 1 species